rnacentral:lncRNA from 10 species
GAAGGACUUAGCUCAUAGAUGUCUUCUGAAAUGUGGAAGAAAUACUUUCGUUUGUCAUAAAACCUCAGCAGGAGAUUGGAGUCUGGAAGAGGGAGGGGAGAAGAGGAGGACCUCAGGGAGAUUGUUUUGCUUAUUGGUGUUUAAUUAAAAACCAAACAACUUUUCCUAUUAACUUGAUGCUACUUAUUAAUUGAAAUGAGGAGACUGACUCUGGAUAUUGGGAAAAUUUAUGUCUGGAAUAGCAAAUUGACCUCAAAAGAUAUAUUUUGAUCAGGAUGAAUUCCAAAGCUGAAAUUAGUUGUUCUCUGAGUUCAGAGUUUUAGAUUAAACAUCUCUCUCUUGAUAUAUAUAUCUAUGGGCACAUACAGAGGAAAAGACAUGUGGGGACAUAAUGAGAGGACAGCCAUCUGCAAGCCAAGAAGAGAAUCCUCACCAGAAACCAACUUGACUGGAAUCUUGAUCUUGAACUUCUUGCUUCCAGAAUUAUGAGAAAAUAAAUUGUUGUUUAACCCACA